rnacentral:rRNA from 1 species
CCGUACGAUACGAGUUUGAUCCUGGCUCAGGAUGAACGCUAGCGGCGGGCUUAAUACAUACAAGUCGAACGGUAACAGGUCUUCGGACGCUGACGAGUGGCGCACGGGUGCGUAACGCGUACACAACCUACCCUAAAGAGGGGAUAGCUCCGGGAAACUGGGAAUAAUACCCCAUAGUACUACUAAGUUGCAUAAUUUGGUAGUUAAAGGUUUACUGCUUUAGGAUGGGUGUGCGAGCCAUUAGGUAGUUGGAGAGGUAACGGCUCACCAAGCCGACGAUGGCUAGCUGGUCUGAGAGGAUGAUCAGCCACACGGGCACUGAGACACGGGCCCGACUCCUACGGGAGGCAGCAGUAAGGAAUAUUGGACAAUGGGCGAAAGCCUGAUCCAGCCACGCCGCGUGCAGGAUGACGGUCCUAUGGAUUGUAAACUGCUUUUGUCAGAGACGAAAGUGUAUGAUUUAUCAUAUUUUGACGGUAUCUGGCGAAUAAGCACCGGCUAACUACGUG